UCCCCGUUUUCCGGGGCAGUCCCUGUAGAGUUCCCGGCAUAACCCGCUGGCAACUACAGGCAAGGGUUGCGCUCGUUGCGGGACUUAACCCAACAUCUCACGACACGAGCUGACGACAGCCAUGCAGCACCUCUACCGACGUCCCUUGCGGGAGGACCCCCUCUCAGGGGCUUUCAUCGGCGGUUCAAACCCAGGUAAGGUUCUUCGCGUUGCGUCGAAUUAAACCACAUGCUCCACCGCUUGUGCGGGCCCCCGUCAAUUCCUUUGAGUUUCAGCCUUGCGGCCGUACUCCCCAGGCGGGGCACUUACUGCGUUAGCGACGGCACCGGGAGGGUCGCUCCCCCCGACGCCUAGUGCCCAUCGUUUACGGCGUGGACUAC
rnacentral:misc_RNA from 1 species